GACUGCACUGAUAAUGGAUCAUGGAUGUUUCAUCAAGGAAGCUAGAAGCGCGCGCUUUAUUGCCAUGAGCGCAUCACACCAGACUAGUUAUUUACAAAACUCUGCCACACGGCGGAACAGAGCGCCCGAUCGAUCGGGCCGGCGGAGACGACGACCACAACAUCAUCACGACUACGACGCUGCUAGUACUUGCAACUCCUACUGCUACUACCGGCUAGUAUAAUACACGGAGGCGCGCGCGGGGGGACCAGGACGGCCGCCGCUAAUCAGGCGCUGGCCUUGUUGACCUUCUUGCCGGCACCGGAAGCGGCGGCGCGGGCUGGCUUGGGCUUGGGCUGCGCGGGCGCCGGGGCCACCUUCCUCGCUCGCUUCGCGCGCACCUUACGUGCCUCCCUCGACGGCGCCGAGGCAGCGGCCGCCGGCUUCAUCUUGGCCGGCGCGGCGGCCCUCUUGCGCUUGGCCAUUCCCGCCGACGCCUUCUUCUUCGCCUUCGCGGCCGCGGAGGGCUUCCUCUCCUCGGCGGCGGCGAGCUUGAAGGAGGCCUUGACCUUGACGAGGCGGCCCUUGGCGGCGAAGCCGCGCAGCUGCACGGCCAGCACCUUGCGGUAAUUGGGCGGGAGCACGUCCCGGUGCUUCUCCCCCAUGUGCUUGGCGAUCGCGUACGGGCUCGCCCCGACCUUCCCGCCGUCCUGCGACAGGAUCGCCUCCUUGAUCAUCUGACCUCGAUCACCCCAGGUCCCCAGCAGACACAGCGACCGAUCAUCAGAAUGAGAAUCCAAGCACGGAUGAGUAACCGACAAGACGACGACGACGACGACGGCAUCUUUGCUCACCUCGAAAUAGGGCGGGUGGUGCAGCCCGGCGGACUUGGGCUUCCUGCUCCGCGGCUUCCUCGCCUUCUUCUCCUUCUCGGCGGCGGGGUCGGCCUUCUUCUCCUUCUCGGCGGCGGGGUCGGCCUUCUUCCUCUCGUCACCCUCCUCGUCGGGCUUCUUCCCCUCCUCCGGCUUCUCCACCACCUCCUUCGCCGCUUCCGGCGCCGGCUCCUCGGAGACGGUGACGACCGGAGCAACUUCCUCAGUUACGGUUGCCAUGACCAGAAAUCAGUGAUCACUCUCCGUCAGUGUGCGUCUGACGCAAGCGGUUGCUCCUACUCGGUACUCGCUGUGAC
rnacentral:lncRNA from 1 species